UACGUAGGUGGCAAGCGUUGUCCGGAUUUACUGGGCGUAAAGGGCGUGCAGGCGGUUUGUUAAGUGCAGGGUGAAAGCUCCCGGCUCAACUGGGAGAGGUCCUUGCAUACUGGCGAACUCGAGGGAGGCAGAGGAAAGUGGAAUUCCCGGUGUAGUGGUGAAAUGCGUAGAUAUCGGGAGGAACACCUGUGGCGAAGGCGGCCCCCUGGUUGGAUACUGACGCUGAGACGCGAAAGCGUGGGGAGCAAACAGG
rnacentral:rRNA from 1 species